rnacentral:lncRNA from 1 species
CGGUGUCAAAACCGGCGGAUCUCGGGUAGGGGGUCCCGAACUGUGCGUCUAGGCGGAUGGUAACAGGAGACGAGGGACACAAUGUUUUUACCCAGGUUCAGGCCCUCUCGAUGGAGGUAAUACCCUACGUCCUGCUUGAUUAAUAUUGAUGAUAUGGGUAGUACAAGAGUAGAUCUACCACGAGAUCAAUGAGGCUAAACCCUAGAAGCUAGCCUAUGGUAUGAUUGUUGAGAUGUAAUGUUGUGUCCUACGGACUACAGCCCUCCGGUUUAUAUAGACACCGGAGAGGCUAGGGUUACACAGAGUCGGUUACAAUGGUAGGAGAUCUACAUAUCCGUAUUGCCAAGCUUGCCUUCCACGCCAAGUAAAGUACCUUCCGGACACGAGCCGGAGCCUUCAAUCUUCUAUCUUCGUAGUCUGGGAGUCCGGCGGAUAUUGAUAGUUCGGCUAUCCGGACACCCCCUAGUCCAGGACUCCCUCACCUACCCUGCCUUUCCCCACUCACCUAGAAAGGAAAGGGGGGCGCGGCUUGGGGAGGACCCCAAGUAGGAUUCGGCCUACUUGGGGCGCCUCUUUGGUUGCGCCUCCCUCUCCCCACCUAUAUAUAUGUGGGAGGGGGGCACCACACACAACCACGACAAUCUCUUAGCCGUGUGCGGCGUCCCCCUCCAUCGUUUACACCCUCGGUCAUAUUUUCGUAGUGCUUAGGCGAAGCCGUGCGGAGAUAGCAUCACCGUCACCAUGCCGUCGUGCUACCGGAACUCAUCCACUACUUCACCGUCUUGCUAGAUCAAGAAGGUGAGGACGUCACCGAGCUGAAUGUGUGCUGAACAUGGAGGUGUCGUACGCUCGGUACUCGAUUGGUUGGGUCGCGAAGAAGUUCGACUAUAUCAACCGUGUUACUAAACGUUUCCGCUUAAGGUCUAUGAUGGUACGUAGACACACUCUCCCCUCUCAUUGCUAUGCAUCUCCUUGAUAGAUCUUGCGUGUGCGUAGAUUUUUUUUGUUUUCCAUGCAACGUUUCCCAACACCAAGCUUGGUCCAGUAGUUUUCCACGAUGUCUCCACAUUUCUCAUGAAUAAGCCAAGCAUCCAAUGCUUCUCCAAAUUACCUAAAACACAUUAAGGUACAAUUUGGUCCCCAAACUUAUUGGGUCCAAAGUAGUUAGUCCAACUACAAUACAUAGGGCAAACUCCACAUUAAGUAUGUGCAUAUGGAUACCAAUUGAAAGGAUAUGAACUUGAAGUUCAUGCACAUGUUUAACCUUUAAGGAUAUUAUGGUGUUUACCCUAUAUAGAGGAUCUAGUAGAGUAAGCAAGGCAUGAAGAAGUAUACAAAUCAAUAUGUAUGCACAAGCCUACCAACAUCCAAAAGAGAUACAAUUUGGACAAAAUAACACAUAAGCGAUGAAUGCACCAAUAAUAUCACAAAGCAUUCAAGUUGUCCAAAUUAUAUCAAAGUGACAAAUCCACACAAGACCACACACAAAGAACAACAUAUAUGAACUAAGAAAAGACCAAAGAGCAUAAAGGAUAUACACUACACACAAGCUCAAAGGCUUAUCUCACUCAAGUAGAUAAUAGAUGGUGCAAGCAAUGAGAUAAGGCAAGUUUGAAGCACGAGCCGAGAAGAAGAUGAUCAUAAAGUUCUACCCACAUGAAGAAAUACCAAUUGUAAGAGAAUAACAAUGGUAUUUGGAAUUAACACUCAGUGGUAGAUUCCAAAGAUGCACAAUAUAAAUCAUAAUCCAAAGCAUAAGAAGAGAGUUCCAUAGUGUUCUAGGUCAGGUGGGCAUUUCUGCCUGAUGGACCCCGUGCGCACGGGGGGUUCCCUGGGAGUUACGCGGUACCCCAUGUGCAUGGGGGUCCAAAGACCCUGUGGGCAUGGGGUACCCAUAAAGUUACGCGGUACUCCGUGCGCACGGGGUAUCUAGAACUUUUCUGUUACAACUUCGUAGAUACCACGACAAGCACGCUACAAAGGUAAAUAAAAACUAACAAGAUAUAAUUAAUGUGUACUUUGAUAAUUUGUAUUUCAAAAGAGCUUGACAUACCACAUAGUGACUAGAUAAUAUUGAAUAUCAAUACUAGCCGGUAUUUCUCAUAUUCACAUUUUGGGUUUGUGAUGUGCACAAAACAUAACAUUCCCCCAUAAUGUUAUGAUCCAAUAAUAUCUCACAAAAGCCCCCAAAAAAGAUUCAAAUAUGAUACAAUAAAGGCUCAAGACUACAAACACAACUAUAUGAUGUGCAAUGCAACCUACACAUGCUAAAUAACACAAAUCAAGCACACUAGGUAUCACAACAUAUACAUACACAUGAUAGAUACAAAACCUAAACAUGCAAGGGGCGAGUAACUUUCAAUGUAAGCAAUAUAAGUACAAGGUACCACAAAGAGGAACAAUGGAUAAAUAAUAUGAAGAUAAUCCACAAGACUUGGCUUGAACAAAUAAAUGGUGGAUAUCCUUUUCUUCAUGAACUAGCCAAAUCUCGAAUGUCCUCCACACACCUAUUGAUCAGGUUUGAGCGUGAUGGUCCCCAACCUAGUUGGGUCCUUAAGAAGUUAGUCACAAUAGGCAUGGAAACCCAAAUGGUCUUUUCCAUUUCCAAACCACUUUGGGCACCAAAAAACUUGGCAAGCAAAUUGCCAACAAUAUGCUUCCUAAGCGAAUAAUAAUCAUUGACUAGAGGAUGCUUAGGGAUGUUACCACUGGGACAUGAUGAGGAUAUGUGUCCCUUCUCACGAAAAUUAUAGCAACAUGUGCUCUCUUAUCUUCUUUAUUUUCUCAACUUGGGGAGCAUUCUCUUGGUUUAUCAUUGGUAGUGGCCUUUCUUCAACUUGAGGUUGACCUUGAGGUCGCUUCUCUUGCUGCUUCACAUUUGAAACCUUCUUCUUCAAUGGACAAGAUCUCACAUGGUAUCCAACAUUCGUGCACUUGAAGCAUGUAAUGUUGGCCGGAUUCUUGACUUGAUCUUGAUCCUUCUUCUUCCUGAACUUAUUUUUGUUGGGAAUGAAACCAAGUCCGCCCUUGUCAUGAGGGUAUUUUUCAAUACUCAAGAUAUUUUCGAGAGUGGGUUCCCUUCAUGACACUUUUCCAAGUGUUUCUUCAAAAUAGUGACUUGGGCUUUCAACUCUUUAUUUUCCUCUACAAGGUUAGUAUCAACAAAAGUACUAGAGUAAGUAGAAGCUUCAUUGUUAGAGUAACAAGGCAAGGAGAGGAAUUCAUCACAAGAAUUGGUAAUAAUAUGUCUAGAUGAAUCACUAGGACUAGCACAUGUCAAUAAACCAUUUUGAGUAGAAAUAGUGCUAAUGUCGACAUGAGGCUCACGAGAUGUUAUCUUAGUCACUAGCCUCAUGAGCUAACUUUAGCCUUUCAUGGGAGAUUAGAAGGUCAUCAUAAGAGCCUGAGAGCUUUCCAUGACUUUGUUCUAAUUUCCCAUAAUUGUACUUAGCGAAACAAGUUGAGCCCUUAGCUCAACGUUCUCCUUCAAGAUAGAUGCUUGACAAGAAGUAGAGUUAGUAGCACAAGCAUCAUUGACAAUAUGAGAGCUACAAGAAACUAGAGACUUCCCAUGAGUAUCUUGAAGUUCCUCAUAAGACUUAGACAGUUUGGUGAGCUCUACUUUGACAUUCUUGUAGACAAGGUCCAGGUGCUCAAAAUCCUCCUUAAGUUCAUCAUGAGCAACUUCAGUCUCUUCUUUAGAAGAUUCUAAGUCUCUAAGAAUUUAUAGAGCAUAAAGAAGGUUACAAUAAGGUUUUUCAUUUUGUUCUUGCUCUUCGUGAAGUAAAUCAUUACACUUUCCAAAAUGAGUAAUGAGAUCUUUAAACAUCACAUAAGUGUUCUUAUUUACCCCAUGAAGAGAAUUACCAAUUUCAUAUAUUUCUUGACUCAUAUCCCUAUCACAUUCAUCAUCACUCUCAUUAUUAUCAUUACUAUGAGUAGAUGAUACCUCAGUAGUACCUCUUGCCAUGAGGCACAUAUGAACAUUGGAGGUUGAUGAUGACUCUUUUGGAGAGGGAGUUUCUUCAUCAUCAACAACAGGAUAUCCAUGUCCAUCCUCUUGACACUCAUAACAUUUCCUCUCCAAUGUGGUAAUGUCCUUCUUUGCUCUUCUAGCAAUAUCUUCAUUAAUGAUGUGUGCAUUAUUUUUCCUUAUUUUCUCCACAUUGUUAGCAAAAUAACAACUAGAGGAAAUAGAAGCAUAUAUAUCAUGACAACAAGGAAAGUCAAGCAUAUCAUCAUACAAUGUAUUCAAGGAAUCUCUAUAUGACAUGCAUGGACUUUCAACACAAGAAUGUAUGCCAUUUUUCCUAGACGUGUUCAAGUCCAAAGAAGCUACAACAUUAGCAUUUAUGCAUGAAAUAUCAUCAAUGUUGAGCACAUCAUCAUCGUCACAAAUGAUAUUUCCAGUCACCAUGUCAUUACCUUGGGACAUGCCAUAUGAUGAUGAGGUGGAAGAGGUAGAAAUGUCCAAGCACAGAGGAAGAAGCAAUAUGGAGUUCUUCAUGAUUUGAAGAUGUGGAUAACUCCUCAAUUGGCUCCUCUAAGAGAUGAUGCAUCUCACCAAGAUUGGACCCACCAUAUAUUUCUUCAAGUUUGGUCCAUAUCUCAUGAGCCAUCACACAAGUCAUGAUUAACUCAAACACUUUGAAGGAUAUAAACUGGAUUAUGGAAUUCUUAGCACCAUACCCACAAAGCAUAUCAUCAUUUUCCUAAUUAGUUGGAAAAAGUUCAUCUUCCCACGAAGAAGCCCCUACAAGAACAAUUUGCACAAAAUUUGGACCCAUGGCCCAGAAAUGACAGAGCAUACGAAUUUUCCGCAAGUGAUAGUUUGUGCCACUAAAACAAAAGGUGUCAUCAUGCACUAGACCACUAGUCGACAUCUUUACUCUCUAGGCGGUGAAGCCUAGCAAGGAGAGACCAAAGCUCUGAUACCAACUGAAAGGAUCUAGAUGACGACUAGAGGGGGGUGAAUAGGCGUUUUAAAACUAUUAUGAAUUUGGCUUUAUCCUAAUGUGGAAUUAAACUAAACGGAUACUUUUCAAGCACAAAUCCUGAAUAUGCUAGGCUCAACUAAGUGCACCAACAAACUACUAAACGAAAUAGGCACUUAAGCAAACUAGCAAGCAAAAACUAUAUCACAAGAUAGGGACAUGAAGGAACUGAAGGAAAUAUGCCCUAGAGGCAAUAGUAAAGUUAUUAUUUAUUUCCUUAAUUCCUGAUAAAUGUUUAUUAUUCAUGCUAGAAUUGUACUAACCGGAAACUUAGUGCAUGUGUGAAUACAUAGACAAAACAUAUAGUCCCUAGUAUGCCUCUACUUGACUAGCUCGCUAAUCAAAGAUGGUUACAUUUCCUAACCAUAGACAUGUGUUGUCAUUUGAUGAAUGGGAUCACAUCAUUAGGAGAAUGAUGUGAUGGACAUGAACCAUCUGUUAGCUCAGCAUUAUGAUCAUGUCAUUUUCAUUGCUACUGCUUUCUUCAUGACCUAUACAAGUUCCUCAGACUAUGAGAUGAUGCAGAUACCGAAGGAACACUUUGUGUGCUACCAAACAUCACAACGUAAAUGGGUGAUUAUAAAGGUGCUCUAUAGGUGUCUCCGAAGGUGUUUGUCGGGUAGGCAUAGAUGGAUAUUAGGAUUUGUCACUUCGUGUUUCGGAGAGGCAUCUCUGGGCCCUCUCGGUAAUACUCAUCACUAUAAGCCUUGCAAGAAUUGUGACUAAUGAGUUAGUUGCAGGAUGAAGUAUUACGAAACGAGUAAAGAGACUUGCCUAUAACGAGAUUGAACUAGGUAUUGAGAUACCGAUGAUCGAAUCACGGGCAAGUAACAUACCGAUGACAAAGGGAACAACAUAUGUUGUUAUGCGGUUUGACCGAUAAAGAUAUUCCAAGAAUAUGUAGGAACCAAUAUGAGCAUCCAGGUUCCGCUAUUGGUUAUUGACCGGAGACGCGUCUCGGUCAUGUAUACAUAGUUCUCGAACCCGUAGGGUCCGCACGCUUAACGUUUGACGACGAUUGGUAUUAUGAGUUUAUGCGAUAUGAUGUACCAAAGAUUGUUUAGAGUACUGGAUGUGAUCACAGACAUGAAGAGGAGUCUCAAAAUGGUCAAGACAUAAAGAUUGAUAUAUUGGACGACUAUAUUCGGACACCGGAAGUGUUGCGGAGAAGUUUUGGAUAAAACUGGUGUGCCGGAGGGUUACCAGAACCCCCGGGGGAACUAAUGGGCCUCGAUGGGCCCUAGUGGAGAGAGAGAGGGGCCGGCCAGGGCAGGCCAUGCGCUCCCUCCCCUUGAGUCCGAAUAGGACAAGGAACGGGGGCGGUGCCCCCCUUUUCUUUCCACUCUCCCUCUCCUUCCUUCCCCCCUCUCUCCCUUUAGGUGGAAACCUACUAGGACUUGGAGUCCUAGUAGGAUUACCCUCUUGGGGGCGCGCCCAAGGAGCGCCGGUCGCCUCCCCCUUGCUUCUUUAUAUAUGGGGGCAGGGGGCACCCUAGAACACACAAGUUGACAAUUGUUUUAGCCGUAUGCGAUGCCCCCCUCCACAGAUAUCCACCUCGAUCAUAUUGUCGUAGUCCUUAGGCGAAGCCCUCGCCGGUAACUUCAUCAUCACCGUCACCACGCCGUCGUGAUGAUGAAACUCUCCCUCGACCUCAGUCGGAUCUAGAGUUCGUGGGACGUCACCUAGCUGAACGUGUGCAGAUCGCGGAGGUGCCGUACCUUCGGUGCUAGGAUCGGCCGGAUCGUGAAGAUGUACGACUACAUCAACCGUGUUGUCAUAAGGCUUCCGCUUUCGGUCUACAAGGGUAUCUAGACAAAACUCUCCCCUCCCUUUGCUAUGCAUCACCUAGAUAUAUCUUGCAUGAUCGCAGGAAUUUUUUUGAAAUUACCUCGUUCCCCAACAGUGGCAUCUGAGCCAGGUCUAUGCGUAGAUGUUAUAUGCACGAGUAGAACACAAAGAGUUGUGGGCGAUAAUAGUCAUACUGCUUACCAGCAUGUCAUACAUUGAUUCGGCGGUAUUGUUGGAUUAAGCGGCUCAGACCGACAUUACGUGUACGCUUACGCGAGAAUGGUUCUACAGACGUGCUUUGCACAUAGGUGGCGGGUUGCUACCUCUUGAGCACUGCGUUGGUUUUCCCUUGAAGAGGAAAGGGUGAUGCAGCAAAGUAGCGUAAGUAUUUCCCUCAGUUUUUGAGAACCAAGGUAUCAAUCCAGUAGGAGGCUACACGCAAAUCCCUUGUACCUACACAAACAAAUAAGAACCUCGCAACCAACGCGAUAAAGGGGUUGUCAAUCCCUUCACGGCCACUUGCAAAAGUGAGAUCUGAUAGAGAUAAUAAUAAGAUAAAUAUUUUUGGUAUUUUUAUGAUAUAGAUUAAAAAGUAAAGAUUUCAAAAUAAUAUAGACCGGAAACUUAUAUGAUGGAAAAUAGACCUGGGGGCCAUAGGUUUCACUAGUGGCUUCUCUCAAGAUAGCAUAAGUAUUACGAUGGGUGAACAAAUUACUGUCGAGCAAUUGAUAGAAAAGUGCAGAAUUAUGAGAAUAUCUAGGCAUGAUCAUGCAUAUAGGCAUCACGUCUGGGACAAGUAGAUCGAAAUGAUUCUGCAUCUACUACUAUUACUCCACACAUCGACCGCUAUCCAGCAUGCAUCUAGAGUAUUAAGUUCAUAAGAACAGAGUAACACAUUAGGCAAGAUGACAUGAUGUAGAGGUAUAAACUCAAGCAAUAAGAUAUAAACCCCAUCUUUUUAUCCUCGAUGGCAACAAUACAAUACGUGCCUUGCUGCCCCUGCUGUCACUGGGAAAGGACACCGCAAGAUUGAACCCAAAGUUAAGCAGUUCUCCCAUUGCAAGAAAGAUCAAUCUAAUAGGCCAAACCAAACUGAUAAUUCGAAGAGACUUGCAAAGAUAACCAAUUAUACAUAAAAGAAUUCAGAGGAGAUUCAAAUAUUUCUCAUAGAUAAACUUGUUCAUAACCCCACAAUUCAUCAGAUCUCGACAAACACACCACAAAAAGAGUUACAUCGAAUAGAUCUCCAAGAAGAUCGAGGAGAACAUUGUAUUGAGAGUCAAAGAGAGAGAAUAAGCCAUCUAGCUAAUAACUAUGGACCCAAAGGUCUGUGGUAAACUACUCACACUUCAUCGGAUAGGCUAUGGCGUUGAUGUAGAAGCCCUCCAUGAUCGAUUCCCCCUCCGACGGAGCACCGGAAAAGGCCCCAAGAUGGGAUCUCACGGGUACAGAAGGUUGCGGCGGUGGAAAUAGGGUUUCGUGGUGCUCCUAGAUGUUUUCAGGGUAUGUGGAUAUAUAUGGGCAAAGGAAGUCGGUCAGGGGAGCCAUGAGGGGCCCACGAGGGUGGGGGGCGCGCCCACCCCCCUAGGGCGCGCCUCCCUGCCUCGUGGCUAACUCGUUUGCUUCUUGACGUCCACUCCAAGUCUCCUGGAUUGCGUUUGUUCCAAAAAUAAUUCUCCUGAAGGUUUCUUUCCAUUUGGACUCCGUUUGAUACUCCUUUUCUGCGAAACACUGAAAUAGGCAAAAAAAUAGCAAUUUGGGCUGGGCCUCCGGUUAAUAGGUUAGUCCCAAAAAUAAUAUAAAAGUGCUUAGUAAAGCCCAUAAACAUCCAAAACGGGUAAUAUAAUAGCAUGGAACAAUCAAAAAUUAUAGAUACGUUGGAGACGUAUCAAGCAUCCCCGAGCUUAAUUCCUGCUCAUCCUCGAGUAGGUAAAUGAUAAAAACAUAAUUUUUGAUGCGGAAUGCUACCUAGCAUAUUUCUCAAUGUAAUUUUCUUUAUUGUGGCAUGAAUGUUCAGAUCCAAAUGAUUCAAAAUAAAAGUUCAUAUUAACAUAAAAAUAGUAAUACUUCAAGCAUACUAACAAGUAAUCAUGUCUUAUCAAAAUAACACAGCCAAAGAAAGCUUAUCCCUGCAAAAUCAUAUAGUUAGGCUAUGUUUCAUUUUCGUCACACAAAAUACUCCCAUCAUGCACAACCCCGGUUUCAGCCAAGAAAUUGGUUCAUACUUUUUAACGCACUUCAGCUUUUUCAACUCUCAUGUAAUACAUGAGCGUAAGCCAUGGAUAUAGCACUAUGGGUGGAAUAGAGUAUGAUGAUGGAGGUUGUGUGGAGAAGACAAAAUAGGAGAAAGUCUCACAUUGACGCGGCUAAUCAACGGGCUAUGGAGAUGCCCAUCAAUUGAUGUCAACAUGAGGAGUAGGGAUUGCCAUGCAACAUAUGCACUAGAGCUAUAAAUGUAUGAAAGCUCUACAAAAGAAACUAAGUGGGUGUGCAUCCAACUUGCUUACUCACGAAGACCUACAGAAUUUUGAGAAAGCCCAUCAUUGGAAUAUACCAGCCAAGUUCUAUAAUGAAAAAUUCCCACUAGUAUAUGAAAGUGACAACAUAGGAGACUCCCUAUCAUGAAGAUCAUGGUGCUACUUUGAAGCACAAGUGUGGAAAAAGGAUAGUAACAUUGUCCCUUCUCUCUUUUUUUUAUUUUGGUGGGCUUCUUUGGUCUCUUUUUUAUUUGGCCUUCUUUGUCCUUUUUUAUUUUUUAUAAAAGUCUGGAGUCUCAUCCUGACUUAUGGGGGAAUCAUAGUCUCCAUCAUCCUUUCCUCACUUGGGACAAUGCUCUAAUAAUGAAGAUCAUCGCACUUUUAUUGAUUUACAACUCAAGAAUUACAACUCGAUACUUAGAACAAAAUAUUACUCUAUGUGAAUGCAUCCGGCGGUGUACCGGGAUAUGCAAUGAAUCAAGAGUGACAUGUAUGAAAGAAUUAUAAUGGUGGCUUUGCCACAAAUACGAUGUCAACUACAUGAUCAUGCAAAAUCAAUAUGACAAUGAUGGAGCGUGUCAUAAUAAACGGAACUGUGGAAAGUUGCAUGGCAAUAUAUCUCGGAAUGGCUAUGGAAAUGCCAUAAUAAGUAGGUAUGGUGGCUGUUUUGAGGAAGAUAUACGGAGGUUUAUGUGUGAUAGAGCGUAUCGUAUCACGGGGUUUGGAUGCACCGGUGUCGUGACGGGGGACGAGCACCUAUGGGGCAGGGGGCCCCUUCUAGUCCGGCAAGGGAGCGGAGGGUGCACGCAGAGCAGAUCGAGGUCGAGCGCGGGGGGGAGACGGGCGAUUUUUACCCAGCUUCGGAGCUCUCCGGAGGGAUAAAACUCCUAUUGCUGCUUUGUGCUUGUAUUUGUUCUUGCUCGAGAGCGCGAGCGUGUGGUGAUGUUGGAUGUGUCGAAUGAACCGAACCUCUUCUACGUGCGCAUGGGCCUCCCUUUUAUAGUCUGAAGGGGGCACCAACAGGUGGCAGCGUAGGAAGAGGGGGUAAAAGAGUAAAAACGCAGGUUGGUACAACAGUGUUCAAUAGUGUCCCCUACCUAACUCUGACGGCAGGGGACAAGGGCAUUUAAUGCCCGUCCGGUCACCCCAACAGUGUGAGGAAACGACCGUUAGGGGCACCACCGAUCGCCAUGAUGGCCUCCUUGUCAGCUCCUCUUGCCACCUCGCUCCGCAUGGCUGCACAGCGCCUCGCCACGUGCUCCUGGGAUGGCCCUGGAGUGACACGUCGCUGGAUGCGCUGGAGCUUGGGUGCAGGGUGGCAGCCUUGCCGCGGCAAGUGCCUUGCCGUGGCCCUUCGCUUGCCGCUCCGACAAGCUUACCGGCUGCCGGGCCUUGCCGGGACGCUCGGGGCGUCGUGGUAAGUCUUCUGGAAGCGCCUUGGUUGGCCUUCCCGGCAAGCUCCUCUUGCCGGGGCUUGUUCUUCACGGCAAGCUCCUCUUGCCGGGGCUUUGUCUACUUGGUUGACAUUUUGUUCUUGAAUGGCAGUAAAUGGAGAUGAUGGAGGGUCUUGACGGGCGCCCGGCAAGCCUUGCCGCGGGGUGCUGCAACUGCCCGUGCACCAGUUCGGGGUACUAAGGUACCCCUACUUUAGUACACCGACAGGAGCCCCCGGGCCUGGGCCAUACACGGUGCCGAGCGCUGUUGGGCCAGGCCCAAAACAGUGCAUGGGCACGCGCGGCCUGGGUCCACACAAAAACCCACUCCGCUUCCGCCGCGUCCCCCCGCAACGGCACGCGUCGAUUGCGGCGUCGUGGGAGGCAUGGUUAGUGUGCGCGAUUCUCGAGGCGCCCACCCCUGUGAUCACGGGGCAGGGUGAGGUCACUUCAUCUGUCGCCCCGGCUCCGCCUUCCCGCCACGCGGCUCCCAUGCGCGUGGGGUAGCGGGCGGUGAAGGUGGGAAACCGAGCCGUCACGGGCGGAGGUGGUGGGUCGGCCCCGUUCCUCUGCUCUCCCCGUGCUCUGAUUGGCUGAGCGGGGGGGCCGAGCCCCCACCUCGCUCCUUAAAAAGGGGCGGAAGGGGAGCGCAAAAAUCCCGCACUUCCUCGUCUUCUCCUUUCUUCAACUUCUGCUACCCUUCCUCUCAUCCGCCAUGGAGGGAGGGAACCCUGGUCCUUCAUCGGUGGCGGCGAGGGUCGCCACCAGGCAGCGCGCCUCUCCCUAUCCCGCACCGGUGGUGGCGGAGCCAGCCACGAGGGGAAGAGGGAGGGGGCGAGGUCGUGGGCGAGGCCGAGGACGUGGUCGGAGCGCUCGGGGAAGAGGCGGCCGGGGCGGUGCGCCACCCUCACCUCCGCCGGCAGCCCCUCUCCUCGAGGCGGUCCACACCGGGGACGAUCCUUGGGAGUUCUUCGUCAGGCUGCGCCGGGCACCUCGUCGUCGCCUCCGGCUUCCAGCUCCGUUUGCGAGCGCAAUGGAGCCGGACCCGCCCGAGAUGCUGGAAUUGCGCAUGAGGGGCUGUGGGAUCAGCGGCACGCGAGUUAGUGUCGUAUCCCCAUCCCCCGGCGUGAUGUAUUUUGAUCGGGGGUGGAAGACGUUCGCCCGCAUCCACAGCUUGACGGCGGGGAUCACCCUCCAUUUUAAGUUAAUGGAGGGCAACCUUCUCACCGUCAAGGUCUUCGGGGACUCCGGCACUCGGGUGAGAUGCUGCGUGGACAGCUCCUCCGAUAGCGAAGACUCGCCCUCGAGCGAGAGUGACGAGGAGGAGAGCGACAGCGACGACGAGGAUGGCGGUGGGCCCGACUAGGCGUCGGCCGUCGCCUCACGCGCCACCAGCGACCCCAUCAUCCGGGUCGCCGGCCUUCUGAACUCCCCGGGGUCGUCUCCUUGGGCGGCUGGCAUAGGGAGGCUGCGGAAGAGGAAGAGGGGUGGCGGCAAGGCCGUCAAGUCGGAGUACGAGGGCGUGAUGCCCUCGACAGCGUGCUGACGUCUUGCCGCCCCGUCUUCGAGCUCUGCUUCCGGCGCCUCCGUCUCCGCCAAGCCCCUGGCCGGCCCCCGGGAUGUUCUCUUGGUGUCUUCUGGCACCCGUAGCUCACCUAAGCGCCCCUUUUGCCCUCCCCGGCAAACUUCUCUUGCCGGGGCCUCCUUGACCUACCUCCUGAAGAGAGAAACAGGAGAGGGAUUACGGGCAUCUUAUCUUUUCAAUUUGUAAGCCUUCGGGCCUUAGUUGUAUCUUAAAACUUGUAAUCCUCUCUUUCAUGUUUUUCAUCCUCUAUGGACUUGUACUGGAAUGGGAUGUUUUUUAAUGAAAAAGGGGAAUGCUUGCCGGGUUAUGUCCUUUACUUGAUUUUGUGCCUUGUAUGUUUUCAUCCUACGCUUCGAGGGAACUUGCCGGUGUAAGCACACUUGCUGAGUGCGGAACAUCAGCAGCCCGCUAGCGGUGCUGUUUCCGGCAAGAAACCUUGUCGGGUCAGUUGCAGCGCGCUUGUAUUGUUGAGCGGACUCGGAAACAAAUCAAGGGCACAACUUAGCCGCGAUUCGGCUCCUCCGCGCUCGGGUUUUUCAUACAAGGCACGCUCGUUCAAGGAUGCGGCCUCGCAUUCCCCAGUCCAUAAGAGGAUGCAGGAAGAGGGAUGAAAAACUUAUCUGAUAUCACAGCCCCCGGUAACUCUGGCUUGUCGGGACAUAUGAGCCUGCACCCUUUUCUUUUGUUCUUGCCGCUGGCAUCGCAGCCCCCGGCGACCCUGUCUUGCCGCGGAGGGACCUUGGUGCCUGCAGCCCCCGGCAAUGCGGGUUUGCCGGGCUCAGGUGCCGGUGCGCCUUCUUGCUCUUUCCUUGUUGCUGUUAUUUCAGUCAGGAGAACAACUUAGGCAGCGCCAUAAUAAGUUAUUUUUGUAAUGUAAUUUCAUCCUGGACUAUGCUCGCUAUGUUGCAUCCUUUGUAUGUUUUACCCUACGCUUUUAGCGAACUUGCCGGUGCAUACACACUUGCUGAGUGCGGAACGUCAGCAGCCCGCUGGCGGUGUAGGCUCCGACAAGAAACCUCCUCGGGGCUAGUUGCAGCGCACUUUCAUUGUUGAGCGGACUCGAAAACAAAUCAAGGGCGCAACGUAGGCGCGAGCUGGUUCCUCUGCGCACAGGUUUUUCAUACAAAGCACGUCCCAUGGCAAGGCUCGCUAUGUUAUAUCCUUUACUCCGCCACAUCCCUUGUAUGUUUUUACCCCAUGCUUUCUAGGGAACUUGCCGGCGCGAACACACUUGCUGAGUGUGGAACGUCAGCAGCCCGCUAGCGGUGUUGCUCUCGGCAAGAAACCUUGUCGGGCUAGUUGCAGCGCACUUUUAUUGUUGAGCGGACUCGAAACAAAUCAAGGGCGCAACGUAGCCGCGAGCUGGUUCCUCCGUGCACAGGUUCUUCAUACAAGGCACGGACGUUCAAGGAACAUAACAUAAAAAUUAAAAACGGAUGGUGCUCAGCACUCAAACUUCAGGCAACUUAGCUUUUUCUGUCUUCCGUGCUCCGGCAGGAUUGCACUUCUUCCUUGACUCUCUCCCUUGUAUGUUUUCACCCUCACACUUUUGGGGAACUCGCCGGUGCAAGCACACUCGCUGAGUGCGGAACAUCAGCAGUCCGCUGGCGGUGUUGCCUCCGGCGAGAAACCUCGUCGGGCUAGUUGCGGCGCACCUUCAUUGUUGAGCGGACUCGAAACAGAUCAAGGGCGCAACUUAGCCACGAUUCGAUCCCUUCAUGCACAAGUUUUCCAUACAAGGUACGGUCUUUCAAGGAAUACGACUCGAAAGUUUGAAACUGACUGCCCUCUUUGCUCUACUUGCCGGUGGAGCUCGAUGGCGCGUCCUCGACAGCAGCGCAGCGCUCCGAAGAGGUGCGCUUGCCGGAGUGGGCAUCAAAGCUACACUUGCCGGACUUGGUCUUUGGUGAGGCUAUCUUUUCCUCCUUGCACUUGCCGGUGGAGCUCGAUGGUGCGUCCUCGACGGUAGCGCAGCACUCCGAAGAGGUGUGCUUGCCGGAGUAGGCGUCAGAGCUACACUUGCCGGACUUGGCCUUCUCCUUCCCCCGGGGAGCUUCAGCAGCAAGUGGUUGGCGCUCUGCUACGGCUGCUGCUUCCCUGUAGAUCUUGUCGGUGCAGAUAAGUGCAUCCUUCUUGUCACCUUGGACAGAAAUGACACCUAUCGGACCAGGCAUCUUGAGCACGUUGUAGGCAUAAUGAGAGGCUGCCAUGAACUUGGCAAGCACUGGACGGUCGAGUAUCCCAUUGUAUGGCAACGGGAAAUCUGCAACAUCGAACGUGACUCUCUCUGUCCUGAAAUUCAGCUCGCUGCCAAAUGUUACUGGCAGCGUGAUCUUCCCCUUGGGCUUGCUUCUUCCCGGAUUUAUCCCUUGAAAGGUACCAUUUUCUUCGAGCUCGCUGUCGGGGAUCUGGAGCUUCUUGAGCACUGCGGAGGAGAUGAGAUUAAGGCCGGCCCCGCCGUCAACCAACAUCUUUGUGACUUUGAGGUUGCGGAUAGUUGGUGAGACCAACAUCGGCAAGCACCCGACCGCAGUGAUGUGAUCAGGGUGAUCCUCAACGUCAAAGACGAUGGGCGUGCUGGACCACAUCAGCGGCUUGCGCGCUUCGACUGAGGGCUCUGCUGCGUUCACCUCCCACACCCAUUGCUUGAGUUGAUGGUGCGAGGUGUGCAGAGAAGCACCGCCGUCAACACACAGAACCUCCGUCGCCUUCUGAAACUCUUGAUCAUCAGUCUCAUCCUCAUCCAUCUCAUCAUCCUCAUCUUCUUCUUCGUCCUUGUCGCGGCCCCGGGGGGUCUAUCUCCUUGCCGCUGCUUGGGCUUGCCGCGGCGCCCUCCCUGGGCGGGAAGCUUCUUGCCGGAUCCUCCGCCACCUUUCUGGGCCUUCUCCUUGUCGCGGCGCUCGUAUUCAGCUCUCUGUAGCUCCGCCAUCUGCUCGACUUUCUUGCAUGCUUGGAGAUCAUGGCCCUUGGUUCGAUGGAUCUUGCAAUAUUGCUUGCCGGAGCCGUCCUGCUUGUCGGCGGCCACCACAGCCUCGCCGGAGUCGCUGGCUUUGGCCUUGCCGGAACCUCCUUCGUUGCCGGACUGCUCAAUGACUAGCACAUCCUUAGCCUUUCUCUUUCUGUUCUUCCGCCUCCGGUUCUUCCUUGCCGGGGCGGCGUCCUCUUCACUGUCAGAUCCUUCUACUCCUGUUGCCUCUCCGGGGAUUCUCCUCCCCUCCUCAGCCCGUGCACACUUGUCGGCCAGAGCAUAAAUCUCAUUGACAUCUCUGAUCUUGCACAUCGCCAUCUCCUCCCUCAUCCUGCGGUUACGCACGUUCUGAUGGAACGCGCUGAUAACCGCGGCAGGAUGGACGUCUGGGAUGUUGCGCUGCACUUGGCUGAAUCUCUGUAUGUACUUGCGUAGAGGUUCUCCCUCCUUCUGGACGAGCAGAUGCAGAUCGCUUUCCUGGCCAUGUGGUUUGUGGCCGCCCGUGAAGGCGCCGACAAACUGAUGGCACAGGUCCGCCCACGAAGAAAUGGAGCCGUCCGGCAAGUGCAUGAGCCAAGAUCUGACGUUGGGUUUGAGCACCAGCGGGAAGUAGUUGGCGAGGAUCUUCUCGUCGCGCCCUCCGGCAGCCUGCACCGCGAUGGUGUAGAUGCUGAGGAACUCCGACGGAUGUAUCCUGCCAUCGUACUUCUUGGGCACGUCGGGCUUGAAGUUCUUGGUACUGGGCCACUGGACUUGCCGCAGCUCACGGGUGAACGCAGGGCAACCUGCCGCGUACGGCAAGUCGCCUGGUUCCCCUGGUGCAUGCACAUCGACAGUGGGCCCAGCGCGCUGGUUAGAUUGACGCCGCGCUUCUCUUCUGCGCUCGAUGCGAGUACGAGCGUCUUUGUGUCGUCGUUCUUGGAGAACUUGGCAUUGAUCACGGCGAUUUCUCAGGUCCGACGACGCAGUGGAGUCGGCGUCGGGGUUGGCCCGGCAAGCCGGCGAUCUCGGCCUUUGGGGCGGGGAGUGCGCCGUAGUGGCACCCCCAGCGGUCUUGUCGGCGUCGGCUUGCACCCGGGCACCUCGCCGGGCCUUUGAUGCGCUCGGUUGCCGGGGCUUGUCACCGUUGGAGAAGCCGAUGAGGCUAUAAAUGGUCAUCCUCCAAUCGUCGAUCUUGUGUGGCGCCGGAGGGUAAUCUAGAAGCAGCUGGGCCAGCGCUUCCUCUGCAGUCUUGGGUGGUGGUGGCGACGAGCGGCGCGAGGAGCGGGAUGUGCUCGGACUCCCAACUGGGUUGGAAGGAGCAACACCCCGUCCGGGCGACCGUACCUCACUCGUGCCAGCAUGCUGGCGUGCAUGUUGGUCUCGAACGUCCCGCGAUCCACCAGCUUGGCCUUGCUCCAACGCGAGCACGGUGCUAGGAGCACCGGGGCGUUGUCGACCUUGCACCUCCUGGGAAGGGCGUGGUGUUUGCACGGUUGCCGACGCUUGCGGGGCCUUGUUUUUGGACCUGGUGACGACGUGAGUCCCACCGUCGGCGCCCGCUCCUCCGCCGGCGUCCACCCCACCGCCCGCUUGCUCCUGCGGCGGUGGUAGAAUCGAUGUACACGGAGCGGCCACCUCCGAAAGCUUCUUCUUUGGUGGCAUGUUGAUGAAGGCGUUGAUGUAGCGCGCGCGGAGACCGGAUCAGAUGCUCACGACCUCGACGCCCGCCUACCUGGCGCGCCAAAGAUGUCGUGACGGGGGACGAGCACCUAUGGGGCAGGGGGCCCCUUCUAGUCCGGCAAGGGAGCGGAGGGCGCACGCAGAGCAGAUCGAGGUCGAGCGCGGGGGGGAGACGGGCGAUUUUUACCCAGCUUCGGAGCUCUCCGGAGAGAUAAAACUCCUACUGCUGCUUUGUGCUUGUAUUUGUUCUUGCUCGAGAGCGCGAGCGUGUGGUGAUGUUGGAUGUGUCGAAUGAACCGAACCUCUUCUACGUGCGCAUGGGCCUCCCUUUUAUAGUCUGAAGGGGGCACCAAUAGGUGGCAGCGUAGGAAGAGGGGGUAAAAGAGUAAAAACGCAGGUUGGUACAACAGUGUUCAACAGUGUCCCCUACCUAACUCUGACGGCAGGGGACAAGGGCAUUUAAUGCCCGUCCGGUCACCCCAACAGUGUGAGGAAACGACCGUUAGGGGCGCAACCGAUCGCCAAGAUGGCCUCCUUGUCAGCUCAUGUUGCCACCUCGCUCCGCAUGGCUGCACAGCGCCUCGCCACGUGCUCCUGGGAUGGCCCUGGAGUGACACGUCGCUGGAUGCGCUGGAGCUUGGGUGCAGGGUGGCAGCCUUGCCACGGCAAGUGCCUUGCCGUGGCCCUUCUCUUGCCGCGCCGGCAAGCUUGCUGGCUGCCGGGCCUUGCCGGGACGUGCGGGGCGUCGUGGCAAGUCUUUUGGAAGCGCCUUGGUUGGCCUUCCCGGCAAGCUCCUCUUGCCGGGGCCUUGUUCUUCUCGGCAAGCUCCUCUUGCCGGGGCUUUGUCUACUUGGUUGACAUUUUGUUCUUGAAUGGCAGUAAAUGGAGAUGACGGAGGGUCUUGACGGGCGCCCGGCAAGCCUUGCCGCGGGGUGCUGCAACUGCCCGUGCACCAGUUCGGGGUACUAAGGUACCCUUACUUUAGUACACCAACAACCGGCGAAGUUUGCACCAACUGUCAAGGUGAGAAAGGGCAAUGCACGGUACCAUAGAGGUUAGCAAUGAUGGAAGAGUAAGAGUGCGUAUAAUCCAUGGACUCACAUUAGUCAUAAAGAACUCAUAUACUUAUUGCAAAAGUUUAUUAGCCCUUGAAGCAAAGUACUACUACCCAUGCUCCUAGGGGAAGGGUUGGUAGGAGUUAACCAUCGCGCGAUCCCGACUUCCACUCAUAAGGAAUGCAAUCAAAAGAACGCCACAUGCCACAAAUUUGUCACACAACUUUUACCAUACGUGCAUGCUACGGGACUUGCCAACUUUAACACAAGUAUUUGUCAAUUUCAUAAUUACCCAACUAGCAUGACUCUAACAUUACCACCUUUAUAUCUCAAAACAAUUAUCAAGUAUCAAAUUGAUCAUAGUGUUCAAUACACUCUAUAUGAUAGUUUUUAUUAUACCCAACUUGGAUGCCCAUCAUAUUAGGACUAAUUUUAUAACCAAAGCAAAUACCAUGCUGUUCUAAAAGACUCUCAAAAUAAUAUAAGUGAAGCAUGAGAGAUCAAUAAUUUCUACAAAAUAAAACCACCGCCGUGCUCUAAAAAGAUAUAAGUGAAGCACUAGAGCAAAAUUAUCUAGCUCAAAAGAUAUAACUGAAGCACAUAGAAUAUUCUAAUAAAUUCCGAUUCAUGUGUCUCUCUCCCAAAAGGUGUGUACAGCAAGUAUGAUUGUGGUAAACUAAAAAGUAAAGACUCAAAUCAUACAAAACGCUCCAAACAAAACACAUAUCAUGAGGUGAAUAAAAAUAUAGCUCCAAGUAAGGUUACCAAUAGACGUAGACGAAAGAGGGGAUGCCUUCCGGCGCAUCCCCAAGAUUAGGCUUUUGGUUGUCCUUGAAUUUUACCUUGGGGUGCCUUGGGCAUCCCCAAGCUUAGGCUCUUGCCACUCCUUAUUCCAAAAUUCAUCAAAUCUUUACCCAAAACUUGAAAAAGUUCACAACACAAAACUCAACAGAAAAUCUCAUGAGCUCCGUUAGUGCAAGAAAACAAACCACCACUUUAAGGUACUGUAAUGAACUCAUUCUUUAUUUAUAUUGGUGUUAAACCUACUGUAUUCCAACUUCUCUAUGGUUCGUACCCCCAGAUACUAGCCAUAGAUUCAUCAAAAUAAGCAAACAACACACGAAAAAUAGAAUCUGUCAAAAAUAGAACAGUCUGUAGUAAUCUGUAACUUUAGAAUACUUAUGGAACCUUAAAAAUUAUACCAAAAUAGGAAGUCCUAUGAAAUUUGUCUAUUAAUCUUCUUCAAAAAUAAUCAACUGAAAAGCACGUUCCUAUGAUUUAUUAAAAUUAUUAUCGUGCAUGCAAAAGUUUCUGUUUGUCAGCAAGAUCAAAUUAACUAUCACCCAAGAUGAUCCUAUAGGUUCUACUUGGCACAAACACUAAUUAAAACAUAAAACCACAUCUAAAAAGAAUCUAGAUGAAUUAUUUAUUGAAUAACAGCAAGGAAAAAAUUGGGUUGUCUCCCAACAAGCGAUUUUCUUUAAAGGCUUUUAGCCAGGAAUUGAUAAUUUUAAUGAGGCUCACAUGAAAGACAAGAAUUGAAGCGCAAAGAGAGCAUCAUGAAACACGUGACAAACACAUCUAAGUCUAACACACUUCCUAUGCAUAAGCAUAUUAUAAGCAAACAAAUUUGCAAGGCAAGCAAAAACUAGCAUAUGCAAGGAAGAAGAAAGAGACAAUAGCAGUCUCAACAUGACGAGAGGUAAUCUAGUAAGAUAAAAAUUUCUAUGACCAUAUUUUCCUCUCUCAUAAUAAUUACACGUAGGAUCAUAGGCAAAUUCAACAAAAUAGCUAUCACAUAACAUAUUCUCAACACGAUCCACAUGCAUUUGAAGUUGACACUCUUCCAAAAUAGUGGGAUUAUCAUUAACUAAAGUCAUGACCUCUCCAAACCCACUUUUAUAAAAAAUACCAUAAGAUUGAACAUUCUCCAAAUAUGUGGGAUCUAAAGUUGACACUCUUCCAAACCCACUUUCAAUAAUAUUACAAAAACUAUUACCAAUCUCAUAUUCAUCAUGGGGCUUAAAUAAAUUUUCAAGAUCAUAAGAAGAAUCACCCCAAUCAUGAUCAUUGCAACAAAGAGUAGACAUAGCAAAACUAGCAUCCCCAAGCUUAGGGUUUUGGGUAUUAUUAGCACAAUUGACAUCAAGAGAAUUUAAAAAAAUCAUUGCAAUCAUGCUUUGUAUUCAAGGAGCUAUCGUGAAUAUCUUCAUAAAUUUUCUUCAUCACAAUUUUCAGAUUCACGAAUUUCAAGCAAAACCUCGUAAAGAUAAUCUAGUGCACUCAAAUCACUAGAAUUUGGUUCAUCAUAAUUGGAUCUCUUAAAAAGAUUGGCAAGCGGAUGAGGAUCCAUAGAUCUUAGGUUCUCUGUUUAGCAAUAAAUAAACACUUAUUCCAACAAAAUGAGCAAACGAGCCAAGUAAGACAUCAAAGCAAACGAAAAGACGAACAGAAGAAGGGCGAAUAAAACGGCAAGGGUGAAGUGGGGGAGAGGAAAAUGAGAGGCAAAUGGCAAAUAAUGUAAUGCGAGGGAGAAGAGUUUGUGAUGGGUACUUGGUAUGUCUUGACUUGUGCAUAGACCUCCCCAGUAACGGCGCUAGAAAUUGGCAAGUUGACGGGAGAUCAAAUCUCGACUUGACUUGGCGUAAGCUUCCCUGGCAACGACGCCAGAAAUCCUUCUUGCUAACUCUUGAGCACUGCGUUGGUUUUCCCUUGAAGAGGAAAGGGUGAUGCAGCAAAGUAGCGUAAGUAUUUCCCUUAGUUUUUGAGAACCAAGAUAUCAAUCUAGUAGGAGGCUACACGCAAAUCCCUUGUACCUACACAAACAAAUAAGAACCUCGCAACCAACCCGAUAAAAGGGUUGUCAAUCCCUUCAUGGCCACUUGCAAAAGUGAGAUCUGAUAGAGAUAAUAAUAAGAUAAAUAUUUUUGGUAUUUUUAUGAUAUAGAUUGAAAAGUAAAGAUUGCAAAAUAAUAUAGAUCAGAAACUUAUAUGAUGGAAAAUAGACCCGAGGCCAUAGGUUUCACUAGUGGCUUCUCUCAAGAUAGCAUAAGUAUUACGGUGGGUGAACAAAUUAUUGUCGAGCAAUUGAUAGAAAAGUGCAUGGUUAUGAGAAUAUCUAGGCAUGAUCAUGUAUAUAGGCAUCACGUCCGCGACAAGUAGAUCGAAACGAUUCUGCAUCUACUACUAUUACUCCACACAUCGACCACUAUCCAGCAUGCAUCUAGAGUAUUAAGUUCAUAAGAACAGAGUAACGCAUUAGGCAAGAUGACAUGAUGUAGAGGGAUAAACUCAAGCAAUAUGAUAGAAACCCCAUCUUUUUAUCCUCGAUGGCAACAAUACAAUACGUGCCUUGCUGCCCCUGUGUCACUGGGAAAGGACACCGCAAGAUUGAACCCAAAGCUAAGCACUUCUCCCAUUGCAAGAAAGAUCAAUCUAGUAGGCCAAACCAAACUGAUAAUUCAAAGAGACUUGCAAAGAUAACCAAUCAUACAUAAAAGAAUUCAGAGGAGAUUCAAAUAUUUCUCAUAUAUAAACUUGAUCAUAAACCCACAAUUCAUCAGAUCUCGACAAACACACCGCAAAAAGAGUUACAUCGAAUAGAUCUCCAAGAAGAUCGAGGAGAACUUUGUAUUGAGAUUCAAAGAGAGAGAAGAAGCCAUCUAGCUAAUAACUAUGGACCCGAAGGUAUGUGGUAAACUACUCACACUUCAUUGGAGAGGCUAUGGCAUUGAUGUAGAAGCCAUCCAUGAUCAAUUCCCCCUGCGGCGGAGCACCGGAAAAGGCCCCAAGAUGGGAUCUCACGGGUACAGAAGGUUGCGGCGGGGGAAAUAGGGUUUCGUGGUGCUCCUGGAUGUUUUCAGGAUAUGUGGAUAUAUAUAGGCGAAGGAAAUCGGUAAGGGGAGCCACGAGGGGCCCAUGAGGGUGGGGGCGCGACCACUGAGGGAGUCCUGGAUUGGGGGUAUCCGGACAGCCGGACUAUAUACUUCGUCCAGAUUAUUGGAGCGUGAAGAUACAAGACUCAAGACUCCGUCCCAUGUCCGGACGGGACUCUUCUUUGCGUGGAAGACAAGCUUGGGGAUCCGGAUAUUGUAUUUCCUUCCUUGUAACCGACUUCGUGUAAACCUAGCCCUCUCUGGUGUCUAUAUAAACCGGAGAGGUUGGUCCUUAGAAGGCCGAUCACAAUUACAAUCAUAAUCAUCAUAGGCUAGCUUCUAGGGCUUAGCCUCUACGAUCUCGUGGUAGAUCUACUCUUGUACUACUCAUAUCGUCAAUAUUAAUCAAGCAGGAAGUAGGGUUUUACCUCCAUCGAGAGGGCCCGAACCUGGGUAAACAUUGUGUCCCUUGCUUCAUGUUACCAUCAGCCUAAGACGCAUAGAUCGGGACCCCCUACCCGAGAUCCGCCGGUUUUGACACCAACAUUGGUGCUUUCAUUGAGAGUUCCUCUGUGUCAUCACUGAAAGGCUUGAUGGCCCGCCUCGUUGUUAAGGACAAAAUUACCUCUCAGGGAGCUCGGGCUAUAGGCCAAACUCUCCGACUUGGCGGCUUCAUCAUGGCCGCCCCAUCGGCUGUCGCGCCGACGAUGGCUUCUCGGGUCGUCACGCAUAACCUUCGCAUCAAUCCGGAACUCGCCGAACAGAUGGAUCUGAUAGAGCUCUCCUCCCUUAAUGAGCUCUUGGAUCGCAUAGCCGCUCUGGGUGUCGCUAUGGACUCUGACCGGAUCGGUCUUAAACCCGACCAAAGGGACAUUAAAUCCCCGCCGGCCACCCAUGAAAUAGCGGUAGUGGAGGAACCACACGUGGAUUCUCCCUCAAUUUUGAGGAUGAAUUAUGUUCGGAUCACCGAGCUCCCUGAGCCGGACACCCCGCCCAAGGGAAGACAUGACCCAGGUCCCGGACUUAGAAUCGGGCAUUGGGCCGGAGAGAUUGGGCAGCACCACGGAUCCCGAGCUGUCGGACUCGGAAGCUCCCAUGCCCCCGGGUGCUAGAUCGGAUCAGAACCCGGAUUCAGCUACUACCGCGCACCCGGACUUAAACCGUCUCUCCCAUAUCAGGCAAGAGCCCCAGGAGAUAGUACAUCGCUACUGGGCCAGAUUCCUCCUUGUGCUAAACAAGGUCAAGGACUGCCGUGAGGAGGACGCAGUCUCACCUUUCUACAAAAACUGCAUGAACAAAGGAAUCCUUAAUGCUAUAAGUCGCCGUGACAUAGUACACUUUGCUGACUUGGUAACCAUAGUACAGAAGUAUUGUGCGAUGGAAAAGUGCCUAGAAAACCCAAAUAGAAUUUUGGGAUAGCCCGGCUCUCACAAAAACCUUGUUCCGAACUAAACGGGCGAACUCUCGUAAGUCGGCCAAUCCAAUCCCCAAGAAACCAAAGCCCACCCCAGGGCAGGGAACCAUAUUGGAAGAAUGGCUCAAUAGGCCAUGUAAACUCCACAGUACUCCGGACACAACACCAACUCAUAGCCUUAGGGCAUGUUCGAUACUCCGACAGGUUGCAAAAGGCGGCGAGGAUCUUCUUGUAAGCCAUAAAGCAGAACAACAUCCCGCCAACGAACAUGCCCGCCGGUCCGACUUCGGCCAUAUGGUUCGGGUCCAGCUUGGUGUAGCGCGUCCUCACCAUAGCCCAGGCUUCUCUUGCACCUUGCCGGUAGGCUGACAUCUUCCACAAUCGAAAGCGCCGAUGUGCUCCUUGAAGCAUAUCCACAAGCUCCCCCAUGCCAUUCGGCAGGAAGCUUGAUGGCCACAAGGCCUGAGCAAUGCCCUACAUCACCUGUCGAGCUCGCUCGUGCAGUUUUGAGAGGUCUUGUAGUAAAUCGCCUGUAGAUGAGGGAAUCUCCUCCUCAGGGCAACCCGUUAACAUUCCUACAAGAAAAAUCCUUUCAAUAUACUUCCACACCAAACUAUACUACAGUUCCCCUAGGCACUUACCAUAAAUGCCGCGUCGAAGCCUUUUGUUCUCCUUCACGGAGUCCGCCAGCUGAGCGCGGACGUCUUUUAACUCCACAUCCAGCUGGACUUUAGCAUCUUGAAGAUUGUUCUUCUCCUGCCUAACUUGCAUAAGAAUGCGCUCGCCAGCCUUCAGCUGCCUUUUGAGAUGUGACUCGUCAUCUCUUACGCCCUCCGGAUUCACCCCGAGAUUGUCUGCAGAAUUUUAUGUUAGACUUGUCAUAUCAGCCAUUUACUAACUAGUGCAUCUUCGUACAAUUGAGACAAAUGUUACCAGACGAGGGCUUCUGGGAUCCCUCUACUUGGCAACUGUGGCCCUUAGCUCGGCCUUGCACUCCUCCAGCUCCCGAGACAAUUGCUCAUUCUUAUCUACAAGGACAUGUGCAUAAAUUGAUCCUUAAAAUAGUUGUUCCAACCGUUUCAAGUCUCAGGGGCUACUACUAUACAUGCUUAUCAAAUUUUCUUACCCGUAUAUCUUUGGUAUACUGGUCCGUCGCUCGGGCAAGCCUACCUUGAGCAGCUCGGAUGUAUGCGUCUCCUGAAUUAAAGGCGUUAAAUGCCUCUUCGGAAAAGAUGUUGUUCCGAAGUAUGGCCCAUCGGCGCCGGUGAUUCAUGGCACUCUCUACUUCGGAAUUCGUGGCCGAGAGCAUAACCGCGUCCUCUGUCGGAGAACUAUGCGGCAUCGGCCCCACUCCCACCUCCGCUCUCGAAGCCGGUUCUGGAAUCCGGCUGGUGGAAGCGUGAUUGGCAGGAUCCCCGGACAUGGUUCGGCUGCUCCUCUUCCUGCCGGGACACAAAGGGCGUUGUUAUACUUCAAAAUACCAUAAUCGCAGGACAAGUUUUUGCCUUACCUCUAUAGCGGUGUGUCGACCCUUACCGCCUUCCUCUUGAGCCUGCCCGAUCUGGACUCCCGUGGCCGACGAGCCCCUAGGGGCUAGGCCCCGCGCUCCGACUGUCGUUUUUGCAAAAACACGACACUUCAAAGAUAAGGCAUGACAUCUGAAAGGAGUCCUCUUCGGAGGAUGGGGUUUUCGGCUGGGCUUACACGCGACGUUGGUAGUAGUCCGGGAUAGUCGGCAAUGAUGGCCACUGAGGCGCCAUCGCAGCUCACUUGAUAAAAUAUCCCAUUGACAAGCUCCACGGUGAUAUCCGGAUCUUCUUCGAGUCCUGGAUCUAGGGCCCUUCCGGGGUCCUUUGGCUGCGGGGAGGGGCUGGAGAUUCCUUCUACGGCCCUCCUCAGUUCCUGCUGGGAAAUAUCGAGGCGGAUAAUCUUAGCGAAGGACGCCACAAUAAGUAAAGCGGGGAAAGGAAUAACGACUUACGCAGUUUGGAGGGUUGUGCAUGGAGAAUCCAUCCCGCGGUUUGAUAUGAAGGAACUCUUCCUCUUCCCCUUUGUAUAAAUCGGACAAUAUCCUUGCCAGAGCAGUGGUGGAGUCCCGACCCUUACGGCCACAGCGGGUGACAUCAUCUUCCCCGUUGAAGUGCCACAUGGGCUUCCCCCGAUAUUGAAGCGGUUGCAGUCCCCGCAUUAUGAAUAUUGCCAUAACCUCGACUAUCGUUAGUCCGGAUUUGGCCAGUAACUUUAUCCUUCUCAUCAGGUAAUGUAUUUCCCUGGUAUCCUCCUCUUGGGGGCCCCGGGGGCACCAUCUUAGACGUGCCCUCGGCGAGGCGUUACUGAACUUGGGGAGACCUGUCCGGACUGGAUCCGGAAGGGGAACGUCAUCAAUGUAAAACCAUUCUGAAGGCCAGUUCUCUGGUGCCUUCUUGGGAGUGCCGGAUAGGUAUCCGGUCUCGGCAAUGCGCCAUACUUCGGCCCCGCCCACUUGACAUAGGGAUUAUCCCUGGUUGCGGGGGACGAGGCAGAACAUCUUCUUCCAUAACCCGAAGUGAGCCUCGCAGCCUAGAAAUAGCUCACAAAGGGCAACGUACCCUGCUACAUGUAGUAUGGAGGCAGGGGUAAAGUUGUGCAACUGGAGGCCGUAGAACUCCAGGAGCCCGCGAAGGAACGGGUGGAUGGGAAACCCAACGCCCCUUAGCAGAUGUGGGAUGAGGCAUAUUCGCUCCUCUGGAGAUGGAUUAGGUGAUCCCUCGGCCUGUUCCCCGCCGUUAUAGGUGGCUAUUCCGGCUCGACGGGGACCAUGAACGCCGGUGGGAGAAACCCUUCGGUUUGUAACUCUAUCAAACGGCUAUGAGGAACUGAACACUCUUCCCAGUCCCCCGGCUUGGAGCGAGGAGAGCGAGAAGAAGAGCUGCGAUGACCGGCCAUGUUGGAAUAGUUUUUCCGGAGCGCUCUGUUGGAUGCUUGCUCGAGGGGGGAGAGUGAGGCUCGGAUCUGAGAAUCCCCGUCUCUUCGAAUAGACGGUCAGCCCGAAGGAUUCGAGGUGGCAAAUGCAAAAUGCUUCGGCUCCUCGCAUUCGCUCGACGCAUGGAGAUGGUCAUUAUUGAGGCAUUGAAGACGAGGAGUACAACAUUGAUGGGAUGCCGGACACUAUUCAUCAUAACAGGUACUUUGGAGUAUUUGGAGAUGGAACCCGCCUUGCAAUGCCGAAGACAAGACUGCACGCCGGACUCAUCGUCAUUGAAGCCUGGUUCAGGGGCUACUGAGGGAGUCCUGGAUUGGGGGUAUCCGGACAGCCGGACUAUAUACUUCGUCUGGAUUAUUGGAGCGUGAAGAUACAAGACUCAAGACUCCGUCCCGUGUCCGGAUGGGACUCUCCUUUGCGUGGAAGACAAGCUUGGCGAUCCGGAUAUUGUAUUUCCUUCCUUGUAACCGACUCCGUGUAAACCCUAGCCCUCUCCAGUGUCUAUAUAAACCGGAGAGGUUGGUCCUUAGAAGGCCGAUCACAAUUACAAUCAUAAUCAUCAUAGGCUAGCUUCUAGGGUUUAGCCUCUAUGAUCUCGUGGUAGAUCUACUCUUAUACUACUCAUAUCCUCAAUAUUAAUCAAGCAGGAAGUAGGGUUUUACCUCCAUCGAGAGGGCCCGAACCUGGGUAAACAUUGUGUCCCUUGCUUCCUGUUACCAUCAGCCUAAGACGCACAGAUCGAGACCCCCUACCCGAGAUCCGCCAGUUUUGACACAGACACCCACCCCCCUAGGACGCGCCUCCCUGCCUUGUGGCUUCCUCGUUUGCUUCUUGACGUCCACUCCAAGUCUCCUGGAUUGCGUUUGUUCCAAAAAUAACUCUCCCGGAGGUUUCAUUCCAUUUGGACUCCGUUUGAUAUUCCUUUUCUGCGAAACACAGAAAUAGGCAAAAAACAGCAAUUUGGGUUGGGCCUCCGGUUAAUAGGUUAGUCCCAAAAAUAAUAUAAAAGUGCUUAGUAAAGCCCAUAAACAUCCAAAACAUGUAAUAUAAUAGCGUGGAACAAUAAAAAAUUAUAGAUACGUUGGAGACGUAUCACUGGGUGAGUGUCUAUUUCUCCAACUUUAGUUGAAUUGAGUGUGGCUAAGCCCGGUCCUUGUUGAAGGUUAAAACAGCACAAUUGAUGAAAAAACAUUGUGGGUUUGAUGCAUAAGUAAGAAUGGUUCUUGCUAGAAGCGCGUAGCAGCCACGUAAAACUUGCAACAACAAAGUAGAAGACGUCUAACUUGUUUUUCUAGGGCUUAUUGUGAUGUGAUAUGGUCAAGGCAUGAUGUGAUAUAAAUUGUUGUAUGAGAUGAUCAAGUUUUGUAACAAAGUUAUCGGCAACUGGCAGGAGCCAUAUGGUUGUCGCUUUAUUGUAUGCAAUGCAACCGCCAUGUAAUUGUUUUACUUUAUCACUAAGCGGUAGCGAUAGUCGUAGUAACAAUAGUUGGCGAGAUGACAACGAUGCUACUAUGUAGAUCAAGGUGUCGCGCCGGUGACAUUGGAGAUCAUGACGAUGCUUCGGUGAUGGAGAUCAUGAGCACAAGAUGAUGAUGGCCAUAUCAUGUCACAUAUAUUGAUUGCAUGUGAUGUUUAUCCUUUAUGCAUCUUAUUUUGCUUAGAACGUCGGUAGCAUUAUCAGAUGAUCCCUUACUAAAUUUCAAGGUACAAGUGUUCUCCCUGAGUAUGCACCGUUGCUACAGUUCGUCGUGCUGAGACACCACGUGAUGAUCGGGUGUGAUAAGCUCUACGUUCACAUACAACGGGUGCAAGCCAGUUUUCCACACACAGAAUACUCGGGUUAAACAAGACGAGCCUAGCAUAUGCAGAUAUGGCCUUGGAACACUGAGACCGAAAGGUCGAGCGUGAACCAUAUAGUAGAUAUGAUCAACAUAGUGAUGUUCACCAUUGAAAACUACUCCAUAUCACAUGAUGAUCGGACAUGGUUUAGUUGAUUUGGAUCACGUGAUCACUUAGAUGAUUAGAGGGAUGUCUAUCUAAGUGGGAGUUCUUAAGUAAUAUGAUUAAUUGAACUUUAAUUUAUCAUGAACUUAGUACCUGAUAGUAUUUUGCAUGUCUAUGUUGUUGUAGAUCAAUGGCCCGUGCUACCGUUCCUUUGAAUUUUAAUGCGUUCCUAGAGAGAACUAAGUUGAAAGAUGAUGGCAGCAACUACACGGUCUGGGUCUGUAACUUGAGGAUUAUCCUCAUUGCUGCACAGAAGAAUUAUGUCCUGGAAGCACCGUUGGGUGCCAGGCCUGCUGCAGAUGCUACUAUUGACGUUAAGAAUGUCUGGCAGAGCAAAGCUGAUGUCUACUUGGUAGUUCAGUGUGCCAUGCUUUACAGCUUAGAAUUGGGACUUCCAAGACGUUUUGAACGUCAUGGAUCAUAUGAGAUGUUCCAAGAAUUGAAGUUAAUAUUUCAAGCAAAUGCCCGAGUUGAGAGAUAUGAAGUCUCCAACAAGUUCUACAACUGCAAAAUGGAGGAGAAUAGUUCUGUUAGUGAACACAUACUCAGAUUGUCUGGGUACCAUAAUCACUUGACUCAACUGGGAGUUGAUCUUCCAGUUGAUGUGUCAUUGACAGAGUUCUUCAAUCACUGCCACCAAGCUAUAAAGGCUUCGUGAUGAACUAUAAUAUGCAAGGGAUUAACAAGACUAUUCCCGAGCUCUUCGUGAUGCUAAAGGCCGGGGAGGUAGAAAUCAAAAAGGAGCAUCAAGUGUUGAUGGUCAAUAAGACCACUAGUUUCAAGAAAAAGGGCAAAGGGAAGAAAGGGAACUUCAAGAAGAACGACAAAAAGGUUGUUGCUCAAGAGAAGAAACCAAGUCUGGACCUACACCUGAAACUGAGUGCUUCUACUGCAAAGGGACUGGUAACUGGAAACGGAACUGCCCCAAGUAUUUGGCGGAUAAGAAGGAUGGCAAUGCGAAAGGUAUAUUUGAUAUACAUGUUAUUGAUGUGUACUUAACUAAUGCUUGCAGUAGCGCCUGGGUAUUUGAUACUGGUUCUGUUGCUCAUAUUUGCAACUCGAAAUAGGAGCUGCGGAUUAAGCGAAGAUUGGCUAAGGACGAGGUGACGAUGCACGUGGGAAAUGGUUCCAAAGUCGAUGUGAUCACGGUCAGCAUGCUACCACUACAUCUACCAUCGGCAUUAGUUUUAGACCUGAAUAAUUGUUAUUUGGUGCCAGCGUUGAGCAUGAACAUUAUAUCUGGAUCUUGUUUAAUGCGAGACAGUUAUUCAUUUAAAUCAGAGAAUAAUGGUUGUUCUAUUUAUAUGAGUAAUAUCUUUUAUGGUCAUGCACCCCUGCUGAGUGGUCUAUUUUUAUUGAAUCUCGAUAGUAGUAAUACACAUAUUCAUAGUAUUGAAGCCAAAAGAUUGAAGUUUAAUAAUGAUAUUGCAAAUUAUUUGUGGCACUGCCAUUUGGGUCAUAUCGGUAUAAACCGCAUGAAGAAACUCCAUGCUGAUGGACUUUUUGAAUCACUUGAUUAUGAAUCACUUGGUGCUUGCGAACCGUGCCUUAUGGCAAGAUGACUAAAACUCCGUUAUCCGGAACAAUGGGACAAGCUACUGACUUGUUGGAAAUAAUACAUACCGAUGUAUGCGGUCCAAUGAGUAUUGAUGCUCGUGGUGGGUAUCGUUAUUUUCUUACCUUCACAGAUGAUUUGAGCAGAUAUGGUUAUAUCUACUUAAUGAAGCAUAAGUCUGAAACAUUUGAAAAGUUCAAUGAAUUUCAGGGUGAAGUGGAAAAUCAUCAUAACAAGAAAAUAAAGUUUCUACAAUCUGAUCGUGGAGGAGAAUAUUUGAGUUACGAGUUUAGUCUUCAUUUGAAACAACAUGGGUAUUUUCACAAUUAACGCCACCUGGAACACCACAGCGAAAUGGUGUGUCUGAACGUAGUAACCAUACUUUAUUAGAUAUGGUGCGAUCUAUGAUGUCUCUUACUAAUUUACCUCUAUCAUUUUGGGGUUAUGCUCUAGAGACGGCUGCAUUCACUUUAAAUAGGGCACCAUCAAAAUCCGUUGAGACGACGCCUUAUGAACUAUGGUUUGGCAACCAAAGUAGUCGUUUCUUAAAGUUUGGGGUUGCGAUGCUUAUGUGAAAAAGCUUCAACCUGAUAAGCUCGAAUCUAAGUCGGGAAAGUGUGUCUUCAUAGGAUACCCAAAAGAGAGUGUUGGGUACACCUUCUAUGACAGAUCCUAAGGCAAAAUCUUUGUUGCUAAGAAUGGAUCCUUUCUAGAGAAGGAGUUUCUCUCGAAAGAAGUGAGUGGGAGGAAAGUAGAACUUGAUGAGAUAACUGUACCUUCUCCCUUAUUGGAAAGUAGUUCAUCACAGAAAUUAGUUCCAGUGAUUCCUACACCAAUUAGUGAGCAAGCUAAUGAUGAUGAUCAUGAAACUUCAGAUCAAGUUACUACCGAACCUCGUAGGUCUUCCAGAGUAAGAUCCGCACCAGAGUGGUACGGUAAUCCUGUUCUGGAAGUCAUGUUACUAGACCAUGAUGAACCUACAAACUAUGAGGAAGCGAUUGCAAGCCCAGAUUCCACGAAAUAGCUUAAAGCCAUGAAAUAUGAGAUGGGAUCCAUGUAUGAGAACAAAGUGUGGACUUUUGUGGACUUGCCCGAUGAUCGGCAAGCCAUAGAAAAUAAAUGGAUCUUUAAGAAGAAGACCGACGCGGACGGCAAUGUUACUGUUUACAACGCUCGACUUGUUGCGAAAGGUUUUCGACAAGUUCAAUGAGUUGACUACUAUGAGACUUUCUCGCCCAUAGCGAUGCUUAAGUCUGUUCGAAUCAUGUUAGCAAUUGCUGCAUUUUAUGAUUAUGAAAUUUGGUAAAUGGAUGUCAAAACUGCAUUCCUGAAUGGAUUUCUAGAAGAAGAGUUGUAUAUGAUGCAACCAGAAGGUUUUGUCGAUCCAAAGGGUGCUAACAAAGUGUGCAAGCUCCAGCGAUCCAUUUAUGGACUGGUGCAAGCCUCUCGGAGUUGGAAUAAAAGCUUUGAUAGUGUGAUCAAAGCAUAUGGUUUUAUACACACUUUUGGAGAAGCCUGUAUUUACAAGAAAUUGAGUGGGAGCUCUGUAGCAUUUCUAAUCUUAUAUGUAGAUGACAUAUUGUUGAUUGGAAAUGAUAUAGAAUAUCUGGAUAGCAUAAAGGGAUACCUGAAUAAGAGUUUUUCUAUGAAAGACCUUGGAGAAGCUACUUACAUAUUGGGCAUCAAGAUCUAUAGAGAUAGAUCAAGACACUUAAUUGGACUUUCACAAAGCACGUACCUUGAUAAAGUUUUGAAGAUGUUCAAAAUAGAUCAGUCAAAGAAAGGGUUCUUGCUAGUGUUACAAGGUUUGAAGUUGAGUCAGACUGAAUGCCCGACCACUGUAGAAGAUAGAGAGAAAAUGAAAGUCAUUCCCUAUGCUUCAUCCAUAGGUUCUAUCAUGUAUGCAAUGCUGUGUACCAGACCUGAUGUAUGUCUUGCUAUAAGCAUAGCAGGGAGGUACCAAAGUAAUCUCGGAGUGGAGCACUGGACAGCGGUCAAGAACAUCCUGAAAUACCUAAAAAGGAUUAAGUAUAUGUUUCUCAUUUAUGGAGGUGAAAAAGAACUCAUCGUAAACGGUUACAUCGAUGCAAUCUUUGACACUAAUCCGGAUGACUCUAAGUCGCAGACUAGAUACAUUUGAAUGGAGGAGCUGUCAGUUGGUGCAAUUCCAAGCAGAGUGUCGUGGCGGGAUCUACGUGUGAAGUGCAGUACAUUGUUGCUUCGGAAGCAGCAAAUGAAGGAGUUUGGAUGAAGGAGUUCAUAUCUGAUCUAGGUGUCAUACCUAGUGCAUCGGGUCCAAUGAACAUCUUUUGUGACAAUACUGGUGCAAUUGCCUUGGCAAAGGAAUCCAGAUUUCACAAGAGAACCAAGCACAUCAAGAGAUGCUUCAAUUCCAACCGUCAUCAAGUGUCAAAAGGGGACAUAGAGAUUUGCAAGAUACACAAGAAUCUGAAUGUUGCAGACUCGUUGACUAAGCCUCUUCCACGAGCAAAACAUGAUAAACACAAAAGCUCCAUGGGUGUUAGAAUCAUUACUAUGUAAUCUAGAUUAUUGACUCUAGUGCAAGUGGGAGACUGAAGGAAAUAUGCCCUAGAGGCAAUAAUAAAGUUAUUAUUUAUUUCCUUAAUUCAUGAUAAAUGUUUAUUAUUCAUGCUAGAAUUGUAUUAGCCGGAAACUUAGUACAUGUGUGAAUACAUAGACAAAACAUAUAGUCCCUAGUAUGCCUCUACUUGACUAGCUCAUUAAUCAAAGAUGGUUAUGUUUCCUAACCAUAGACAUGUGUUGUCAUUUGAUGAACGGGAUCACAUCAUUAGGAGAAUGAUGUGAUGGACAUGACCCAUCCGUUAGCUUAGCAUUAUGAUCCUGUCAGUUUCAUUGCUACUGCUUUCUUCAUGACCUAUACAAGUUCCUCGGACUAUGAGAUUAUGCAACUCCCGAAUACUGGAGGAACACUUUGUGUUCUACCAAACAUCACAACGUAAAUGUGUGAUUAUAAAGGUGCUCUACAGGUGUCUCCGAAGGUGUUUGUUGGGUUGGCAUAGAUCGAGAUUAGGAUUUUACUCCGUGUUUCGGAGAGGUAUCUCUGGGCCCUCUCGGUAAUACUCAUCACUAUAAGCCUUGCAAGCAUUGUGACUAAUGAGUUAGUUGUGGGAUGAAGUAUUACGGAAUAAGUAAGAGACUUGCCGGUAACAAGAUUGAACUAGGUAUUGAGAUACCAACGAUCAAAUCUCGGGCAAGUAACAUACCAAUGACAAAGGGAACAACUUAUGUUGUUAUGCGGUUUGACCGAUAAAGAUCUUCGAAGAAUAUGUAGGAACCAAUAUGAGCAUCUAGGUUCCGCUAUUGGUUAUUGGCCGGAGAUGUGUCUCGGUCAUGUCUACAUAGUUCUCGAACCCGUAGGGUCCGCAUGCUUAACGUUCGAUGAUGAUUCGUAUUAUGAGUUUAUGUGAUAUGAUGUACCGAAGUUUGUUUGGAGUCCCGGAUGUGAUCAAGGACAUGACGAGGAGUCUUGAAAUGGUCAAGACAUAAAGAUUGAUAUAUUGGACGACUAUAUUCAGACACCAGAAGUGUUUCGGAGAAGUUUCUGAUAAAACCGGAGUACCGGAGGGUUACCGGAACCCCCAGGGGAACUAAUGGGCCUCGAUGGGCCCUAGUGGAGAGAGAGAGGGGCCGGCCAGGGCAGGCCGCGUGCCCCCUCCCCUUGAGUCCGAAUAGGACAAGGAAGGGGGCGGCGCCCCCUUUUCCUUUCCCCUCUCCCUCUCCUUCCUUCCCCUCUCGCCCUUUAGGUGGAAACCUACUAGGACUUGGAGUCCUAGUAGGAUUCCCUUUUGGGGCACGCCCAAGGAGGGCUGGCUGGCCUCCCCCUUGCUCCUUUAUAUACGGGGGCAGGGGGCACCCUAGAACACACAAGUUUACAAUUGUUUUAGCCGUGUGCAGUGCCCCCCUCCACAGAUAUCCCCCUCGGUCAUAUCGUCAUAGUGCUUAGGCAAAGCCCUGCACCGGUAACUUCAUCACCGUCACCACACCACUGUGCUGACGAAACUUUCCCUCGACCUCAGCUGGAUCUAGAGUUCGUGGGACAUCACCAAGCUGAACAUGUGCAGAUUGCGGAGGUGCCGUACCUUCGGUGCUAGGAUCAGUCGGAUCAUGAAGACGUACGACUACAUCAACCGCGUUGUCAUAAUGCUUCCGCUUUCGGUCUACAAGGUACGUAGACAACACUCUCCCCUCUCAUUUCUAUGCAUGACCUAGAUAGAUCUUGCGUGAUUGUAGGAAUUUUUUUGAAAUUACGGCAUUCCCCAUCUGGAACAACUAAGCAAUUCAACUAGCACAAGAUAUAUCAAUAUGAGCAAGUAUGAAUUGCGGAAAGUAAAGGGUGUGGGUAUGAGAUAACCACAAGUGAGUCGGGGAUAAGGAUUGCAAUUUUACGCAUGGAUAUUCGACCCGAAUGGAUAGGGUUUGGAUGUGCUUUUCUAUCCAUGGGCGACACCCAAACCCGACCCGAUUUCUCGUGGGUAGGGCAUGGAUAUAAUCUUCUACCCGUGGGGAUACCCAAUAACCCAACCCGAUAGUAUGACUUAAUGGGAAACAAUAUGCUAUCCCUACCCCACAGUCACAUGUCCCACUACAAUUUUACACUUUGUAAUAUAAAAAAUUGCACAAUCCCCAUCGUAACUUUUAUUAGUUGACAUGUGAUAACCCACUAGUAUAGGGGAUCACAACAGUUUUCGAGGGUAGAGUAUUCAACCCAAGUUUAUUGAUUCAACACAAGGGGAGCCAAAGAAUAUUAUCAAGUAUUAGCAGCUGAGUUGUCAAUUCAACCACACCUGAAAGACUUAAUAUUUGUAGCAAAGUAGUAUGGAAGUAACGAUAACGGUGGCAAAAGUAAUUGUAGCAGUUUUGUAACGAUCGUAACAGUGGCAACAAAGAAGUAACUAAGCAAAGAUCAAUAUGUGAAAAGCUUGUAGACAAUGGAUCAAUGAUGGAUAAUUAUGUCGGAUGCAAUUCAUCAUGCAAUAGUUAUAACAUAGGGUGACACAGAACUAGCUCCACUUCAUCAAUGUAAUGUAGGCAUGUAUUCCGAAUAUAGUCAUACGUGCUUAUGGAAAAGAACUUGCAUGACAACUUUUGUCCUAUCCUCCCGUGGCAGCGAGGUCCUAUUGGAAACUAAGGGAUAUUAAGGCCUCCUUUUAAUAGAGUAUCGGACCAAAGCAUUAACACUUAGUGAAUACACGAAUUCCUCAAACUACGAUCAUCACCGGGAAGUGUCUCGGCUAUUGUCACUCUGGGGUUUGCCAGAUCAUGACACGUAGUAGGUGACUAUUGACUUGCAACAUAGGGUCAAGAACUCACAUAUAUUCAUGAAAACAUAAUAGGUUCAGAUCUUAAAUCAUGGCACUCGAGCCCUAGUGAAAAGCAUUAAGCAUGGCAAAAUCAUAGCAACAUCAAUCUUAGAAUAUAAUGGAUACUAGGGAUCAAGCCAUAACAAAACUAACUCGAUUACAUGGUAAAUCUCAUCCAACCCGUCACCGUCCAGCAAGCCUACGAUGGGAUUACUCACGCAUGAUGGUGAGCAUCAUGAAAUUGGUGAUGGAGGAUUGUUGAUGAUGACGAUGGCGAUGGAUUCCCCUCUCCGGAGCCCCGAACAGACUCCAGAUCAGCCCUCCCACGGAAGAUUAGGGCUUGACGGCGGCUCCGUAUCGUGAAACGUGAUGAAUCCUUCUCUCUAAAAAAAUUUCUCCCUAAACAUGAAUAUAUGGAGUUGGAGUUGAGGUCGGUGGCGGUCCAGGGGGGCCACAAGGCAGGGGGCGCCCCAGGGGGUGGGCGCGCCCUGCACCCUCGUGAAUGAUAUGUCUCCAACGUAUCUAUAAUUUUUUAUGUAUUCAUGCCAUGUUUACAAUAUUUUUACAUGAUUUUGUUAUGAUUUGGUUAGAACUAACCCAGACUGACAUUGUUUUCAGCAGAACUACAGUGGUGUUGUGUUGUGCAGAAAUAAAAUUUCUCGGAAUGCGCUGAAAAUCAACGGAGAUUUUUUCUAGAAAAUAUUAAAAAAAUACUGGAACAAAGAAUUGCUGGAGGGGACGCCCGUGGGCUCCACGAGGUUGGAGGGCGCCCCCCCCAUGGCGCGCCCUAUGCCUCGUGGACUCUCCGUGGGUCCCCCUUUCUUGUUUUCGACGCCAACCUCUCCUAUAAAUACAGAAACCUCCAGAAAAUAACCUAGAUUGGGAGUUUCGCUGCCGCAAGCCUCUGUAGCCACUAAAAACCAAUCGGGAUCCUGUUCCGGCACCUUGCUGGAGGGGGGAAUCAUCACCGGUGGCCAUCUUCAUCAUCCCGGCGCUCCCCAUGACGAGGAGGGAGUAGUUCACCCUCAGGGCUGAGGGUAUUUACCAGUAGCUAUGUGUUUGAUCUCUCUCUCUCUCGUGUUCUUGAUAUGGCACGAUCUUGAUGUACCGCGAGCUUUGCUAUUAUAGUUGGAUCCUAUGAUGUUUCUCCCCCUCUACUCUCUUCUAAUGGCUUGAGUUUUCCCUUUGAAGUUAUCUUAUCGGAUUGAGUCUUUAAGGAUUUGAGAACACUUGAUGUAUGUCUUGCAUCGGAUACCCGUGGUGACAAUGGCAUAUUCUAUUGAUUCACUUGAUGUAUGUUUUGUGAUCAACUUGCGGAUUCCGUGACCUUGGGAAUCUAUGCAUAGGGGUUGGCACACGUUUUUUCUUGACUCUCUGGUAGAAACUUUGGGGCACUCCUUGAAGUUCUUUAUGUUGGUUUGAAUAGAUGAAUCUAAGAUUGUGUGAUGCAUAUCGUAUAAUCAUGCCCGUGGAUACUUGUGGUGACAUUGGAGUAUCUAGGUGGCAUUAGGGUUUUGGUUGAUGUGUUUCUUAAGGUGUUAUUUUACUACAAACUCUAGGGCUGUUUGUGAUACUUAUAGGAAUAGCCCAAUGGAUUGAUUGGAAAGAAUAACUUUGAGGUGGUUUCGUAACCUACAAUAAUCUCUUCGUUUGUUCUCCGCUAUUAGUGACUCUUUGUUGCAUGUUGAGGCAAUUUUAUAUGAUCUAAUUAUGUUAUUAUAGUUGAGAGAACUUGCACUAGUGAAAGUAUGAACCCUAGGCUUUAUUUCGAAGCAUUGCAAUACCGUUUGUGCUCACUUUUAUCACUUGCUACCUUGUUUUUUUUAUCAUUUCAUAUUACAAAAACCUAUAUCUACCAUCCAUAUUGCACUUGUAUCACCACGUCUUCGCCGAACUAGUGCACCAAUACAAUUUACCAUUGUAUUGGGUGUGUUGGGGACACAAGAGACUCUUUGUUAUUUGGUUGCAGCGUUGCUUGAGAGAGACCAUCUUCAUCCUACGCCUCCCAUGGAUUGAUAAACCUUAGGUCAUCCACUUGAGGGAAAUUUCCUACUGUCCUACAAACCUCUGCACUUGGAGGCCCAACAACGUCUACAAGAAGAAGGUUGCGUAGUAGACAUCAAGCUCUUUUCUGGCGCCGUUACCGGGGAUGUUAGUACUUGAAGGUAUAUCUUUAGAUCUUGCAAUCGAAUCUUUUUGUUUCUUGUUUUAUCACUAGUUUAGUUCAUAAAAUAAAACAACAACAAAAUGUAAUUGAGGGUGCCUCAUAUGCUUCAUCUUUUAAAUAUCUUUCGUGAAAAUGAUGGAAAGGAAAAUUGUGCCAAAUUGUUAGAAGAAGAAGUCUAUAAAAUGUUCGGCACUAAAUCUUUGAAUGAUGAGCAUGAUUGCAAUAUUAUUAGUAUGAAUUCCUUGAAUAUCCAUGAUGCUAAUGAUAUGCAAAGCCACAAGCUUGGGGAUGCUAUGUUUAAUGAAGAUGAUAUUUUUAGUCCCCCAAGUUUUGAUGAGCAAAUUUAUUAUGAUGAAAGCAUGCCUCCUAUCUAUGAUGAUUAUACUGAUGAAAGUGGGUUUGGAAGAGUGUCAACUUUAGGAAGUAAUGAUCCCACUAUUUUGGAGGGUGUUGAAUCUUAUUGUGAUAAUUAUGAAAGUGGAUUUGGAGAGGUCAUGACUUUAUUUAGUGAUGAAUCCACUAUUUUGGAAGAGGUUCCAAUUGAUUAUGAGAACAAAGUUCCUAUAUAUGAUGAUUAUUGUGAUGACAUGCAUGCUAUAAAGAGUAAUGAUAACCAUGAAACUUGUAAUCUUGAUUUUAAUUUUCAAUUGGAUUAUGCCUCAUAUGAUAGUUAUUUUGUUGAGUUUGCUUCCACUAUUCCGCAUGAGAAGAAUUUUGCUUAUGUGGAGAGUAGUAAAUUUUCUAUGUUUGUAGAUCAUGAAAAGAAUGAUUUAUGUGAUGGUUAUAUUGUUGAAUUCAUUCAUGAUGCUACUGAAAAUUAUUAUGAGGGAGGAAUAUAUACUUGUAGGAAUUGCAAUAAUAUCAAGUUUCCUCUCUAUGUGUUGAAAAUCUUGAAGUUAUGCUUGUUAUGCCUUCCUAUGCUAGUUGAUUCUUUCUCCCAUGAAUUGUUUGCUCACAAAAUCCCUAUGCAUAGGAAGUGGGUUAGACUUAAAUGUGUUAGUCAUAUGCUUCAUGAUGCUCCCAUUGUGUUUCAAUUCUUAUCUUUUAUGUGAGCAUCAUUGAAAUCAUCAUGCCUAGCUAAAAAGGCAUUAAAGAAAAGUGCUUGUUGGGAGACAACCCAAUAUUUACCCCUACUGUUUUUGUGUGUCCACAUGAUUAAGCUACUGUAGUAAUCAUUUUGUAUAGCUUUUGUUUCAAUAAAGUGCCAAGUAGAACCUUUGGGAAGACUUGGGUGAAAGUUAAUGUGAUCUUGUUGUAAAAAAAAAACUUUGCGCUCACGAGAUUAGCUGUCAUGUUUUACAGAAGAGUGAUUUUAAGUUGAUUCUUUUUGCAGAAGAUUAAUAGACAAAUUCCUCACGUCCACCAAUUUAUUUCAGAAAUUUUAGAGUUACAUAAGUAUUUGAGAGUUACAUAUUACUACAGGAUGUUCUGUUUUUGACAAAUUCUGUUUUCUAUGUGUUGUUUGCUUAUUUUGAUGACUCUACCGUAGUAUCGGAGGGUAUGAACCAUAGAGAAUUUGGAAUACAGUAGAUAUAACACCAAUAUGAAUUUAGAAUGAGUUCACAAUAGUACCUAAAUGGUGAUUUAUUUUCUUAUACUAACAGAGCUUACGAGUUUUCUGUCGAGUUUUGUGUUGUGAAGUUUUCAAGUUUUGGGUAAAGAUUCGAUGGACUGUGGAAUAAGGAGUGGCAAGAGUCUAAGAUUGGGGAUUCCCAAGGCACCCCAAGGUAAUAUUCAAGGACAACCAAGAGCCUAAGCUUGGGGAUGUCCCUAAUGGCAUCCCCUCUUUCGUCUUCGUUCAUCGCUAACUUUAGUUGGAGCUAUAUUUUUAUUCACCACAUGAUGUGUGUUUUGCUUGGAGCGUCAUUUUGUUUUACUUUUUUUUGCUUGCUGUUUGAAUAAUAUCCCAAGAUCUUAAAUUCUUAAAUGUUAGAGAGUCUUCACAUAGUUGCAUAAUUAUUUGACUACUCAUUGAUCUUCACUUAUAUCUUUUUGAGUAGUUUGUCAAUUGCUCUAGUGCUUCACUUAUAUGUUUUUAGAGCAUGAUGGUAGUUUUAUUUUGAAUAAAUAGAUGAACUCUCAUGCUUAACUUAUAUUAUUUUGAGAGUCUUUUAGAACAGCAUGGUAAUUUGCUUUGGUUAUAAAUUUAGUCCUAAUAUGAUAGGCAUCCAAGAGGGAUAUAAUAAAAACUUUCAUAUAAAGUGCAUUGAAUCACUACAAAAAAAAACACUUCCGUGAUGAUACCUGUUUGUCACAGUAGGUCGCGUUUUUUGUCAUGCAUGUACAUCCAUGACGAUUUUAUGACAGAAUCAAGAUAGUCAUACAUGUGCUAUCAUAGAAGUGUUCCAUGAGAUUACCAAAAUUAUCAUCACGGAAGUGUCCACUUCCAUGAUGAUAAAUUGCGCGUCACAGAAGUGCUUUCGUCAAGGGAGACCGACACGUGUAUCCACUGUAACGGAACGCCGUUAAGCUAUCGGGUUCGGUUUUGGAUCCGAUAACCCAUUAACAUCCCGGACCAAUGGGGAUUUUCCACAUGUAAAAUCAUCAUUGGCCGUAGGAAACACGUGUUGCCUCACCGUUGGGACAGAUGUCAUCCACUCAUUGGACAGGAGGCGCCUAUGAUAGGUCGACAUGUGGCAUGAUCCAACAAUGGCCCAUUCUGGUGAAAAAGGCUGGCCCAGUAAAAAUUAGCAGGCCGUCCCAUAUAAGGCCUACUUGUGUCAGGUCCAUUUAAGCCCACAGCCCAUACAAGAUGUGCCAAUUCGGCCCGUCAACGGCCCGUUAAAGAUUUAACACCAUUGCAGCCCAUCGUCAGUUCGAGCCCGUUAACAGCCCGCUAUAUAUUUGGGCUCAAUAUCGGCCCGAUGAGAUUUCGGCCUGUUAACGACCCAUUCAAUGGAUGGGCCAAUUUUCAGGAUGUACAUUUUUCGGCCUUUUAGCGACCCACUUAAAUGUUGGGCUAAUUUCUGGCCCGGUGUGUCUUUCAGCCUGUUAACGGCCCAUAACUCUGAUGGGCCAUUUGUAGUCGGACCUGAGUUUCGGCCUUUUAGCGGCCCAUUUAAGUGUUGGGCCAAUUUUUGGCCCGGUGUCACUUUCAGCCUGUUGACGGCCCAUAAAUCAGUUGGGCCAUUUGUAGUCGGACUUGAGUUUUGUCCUUUUAGCGACCCAUUUAAGUGUUGCGCCAAUUCCCGACCCUGUGUGCCUUUUGGCCUGUUAACGGACAAUAAAUUAGUUGGGCCAUUUGUAGUCGGACCUUAGUUUUGGCCUUUUAACGGCCCAUGCCCUUCAUGGUCCAAUACCAGCCUGGUUUCUCUUUCGGCCUGCUAAAGGCCCACAACACAAUUGGGCCAUUUACAAUACGACCUGACUUUCAGCCUCUUAGCGACCCAUGCUCUUCAUGGUCCAGUACAAGCCCGCUAUCUCUUUUGGCCUGCUAAAGGCCUACAGUAUAGUUGGGCCAUAUGUAGCCCAAACUUAGUAAUGGCCCGUGAAAUAAAUUGGGCCUUGUCGGUGUCAAAACCGGCGGAUCUCGGGUAGGGGGUCCCGAACUGUGCGUCUAGGCGGAUGGUAACAGGAGACGAGGGACACAAUGUUUUUACCCAGGUUCAGGCCCUCUCGAUGGAGGUAAAACCCUACGUCCUGCUUGAUUAAUAUUGAUGAUAUGGGUAGUACAAGAGUAGAUCUACCACGAGAUCAAGGAGGCUAAACCCUAGAAGCUAGCCUAUGGUAUGAUUGUUGAGAUGUAAUGUUGUGUCCUAUGGACUAAGGCCCUCCGGUUUAUAUAGACACCGGAGAGGCUAGGGUUACACAGAGUCGGUUACAAUGGUAGGCUACAUAUCCGUAUCGCCAAGCUUGCCUUCCACGCCAAGGAAAGUACCUUCUGGACACGAGCCGGAGUCUUCAAUCUUCUAUCUUCGUAGUCUGGGAGUCCGGCGGAUAUUGAUAGUCCGGCUAUCCGGACACCCCCUAGUCCAGGACUCCCUCAGUAGCCCCUGAACCAGUCUUCAAUGACGAUAAGUCCGGCGUGCAUAAUGUUCGGCAUUGCAAGGCGGGUUCCCCUCCUUGAAUAAUUC